AUUGAACGCUGGCGGCAGGCCUUACACAUGCAAGUCGAGCGUGCGACGGACGGGUGAGUAAUGUAUGCGGACCGCCCGCUAGCGGUGGCUACCUAAUGGAAACGCUAGCUAAUACCACCUACUCUCGGACAACCCCUAUGUGAUUAGCUAGUAGGUGAGGUAAUGGCUAAGCAGGGCAACGAUCCCUAGCUGGUCUGAGAGGAUAAUCAGCCACACGGGGACUGAGACACGGCCCAGAGUCCUACGGAGGCAGCAGUGGGGAAUAUUGCACAAUGGGCGCAAGCCUGAUGCAGCCAUACCGCGUGUAUGAAGAAGGCCCUAGGGUUGUAAAGUACUUUCAGUCGGGAGGCGUUACCGACAGAAGAAGCACCGGCAAACUCCGUGCCAGCAGCCGCGGUAAUAC
rnacentral:rRNA from 1 species